CUGAUAGCGGCGUCUGGGUGGAAAUCGGAAUCAAUCGCCCAAUUCCCCUUCGCACCGAAAGUAGGUACUCGGUAGGGGAGCGCCUNAAUGUCAG
rnacentral:ncRNA from 1 species